GCCGGGCUUUGUAGAAUACAAUCCGGGAAGAUAGUUUCCCAAUCAGCCGUGUAGAAAACACGAUCCAGUAGAACUAGAUUAGGAGCAUUCCGCUCAAUGGACCAUGUGUAUUUUCUACCCAACAGCGGUAACUCUUUUAGUUGAAGGUCAUUCAAAGUUCGCCUAAAACGUCCCAUCAUAGCUCUAUCAAGAUUAUUGUUGUUCUUAUCUUCUGCCCGAUAAAUAAGAUUGAAAUCACUACCAACUACCCAAGGACCAGUGCAUGCUUCACGAAUAACACAAAAUUCCUGCAAGAACUGUACCUUGGGGUUAUCGGAUUGCGGCCGUACACCCCUGUGAACCACCAGGGGGAGCUUUCUUCAAGAUCAAAUUGAGCCGAGAUCGAGAAAGCAUCAAAACUUGAGGUCAAGAGUUUACAAACAUUGCUUCUCCAGGUUAGCA
rnacentral:lncRNA from 1 species